rnacentral:tRNA from 2 species
CGCAGCAUAGCUCAAGAGGAUAGAGCGCUGAUGCAGAGCCACUCGCGGACAGUGGUUGUACGACGGCUGGGUGGUACCUUCAUCGUACGCAUUAGUGAUCUGGGUUCAAAUCCCGGUGCUGCCC